CUUUCCAGUUUGCCCAUGCUCUGCAGUCAGCAGGAAUGCUAAUCAUGAGCGGCUUCACCUCAGUAUGGCUGAACAAACAAUCCAGGUUGUCUUCACGAGGGAUGGAAAGCUGGAUGAUACAGUCAGUAGUGUAUAGGCUGCAGUCACUUCAUCCUACAGUGAGCGAUUCUGCUUCAUCUUAAAACACCAGUGACUUUGCUAACUGAUGAGGUCAGUUUUGGGUAUAAUGGGAGAUGAGAUACCCAGCUCAGGUGUGGAUCCCUCACCACAGGCACCUCAUCUGAGACCAAAUGAAGUUGGAAGAAAGGUCACAGCUUGGUUUUAGUAGCUGACCUUGGAGGGCUCCUGAAAAGGGAAUGCAGGCACAUGAACAGCUAUUUUUUUACCCUUUUUACCCUUACCUUUGACAACAAUAGUGCAAAUUCAUGUGGUUUAGCUGAUGGUCAGUUUAAAGUACCGCUUCACCCUGUCAGGUGAACCUGAUGGAAGACUGUAUCUGUAUGUCAUGCAGAGAACCCAGGACUGUUGCCUACCAUGCAUGCUCUCGCCACUGGGCUGUAAGAGUCCUUAUCAUGCUGGAGGAAGGCUAUAAAUAAUAACGAGCAAGAGCAAGACUACGCAGGCGCUAUUCCUUCCACCUCCCCAAGGAGCAGCGGCCCGCUGCCAGCGGGCUCUGGGUGCCAGAAGCCCACGGGAAUCUUGCCCAGGGGCUGUGCAGGGGCUCGGGGCUGCACCCGCCAAGCCCCUCCGGACUCAAGGCCAGAGCUCGGGGGACCGGGGAGGUAACGCCUCUGGAGUUCUACUUGGCAGAACAGUAUUGGGAUCUGACGGGGAACAGCCUUGGCUGGUUUAGGGCUUUUGUUCGCAUUG